rnacentral:tRNA from 1 species
CGGAAGUAGCUCAGUGGUAGAGCAUCGCCUUGCCAAGGCGAGGGUCACGGGUUCGAAUCCCGCCUUCCG